GAUGAAGAACGUAGCGAAAUGCGAUAAGUAGUGUGAAUUGCAGAAUUCAGUGAAUCAUCGAAUCUUUGAACGCACAUUGCGCCCCUUGGUAUUCCAUGGGGCAUGCCUAUUCGAGCGUCAUUUGUACCCUCAAGCUAAGCUUGGUGUUGGGUGUUUGUCCACUCCCUCGUGUUUGGACUCGCCUUAAAACAAUUGGCAGCCAGUGUUUUGGUAUUGAAGCGCAGCACAAUUUGCGAUUCUAGCCUAGAAUACUAGCAUCCAUCAAGUCAUUUUUAACGCUUGACCUCGGAUCAGGUAGGGAUACCCGCUGAACUUAAGCAUAUCAAUAAGCGGAGGA
rnacentral:misc_RNA from 1 species